UAGGGAAUCUUCCGCAAUGGACGCAAGUCUGACGGAGCAACGCCGCGUGAGUGAAGAAGGAUUUCGGUUCGUAAAACUCUGUUGUUAGAGAAGAACAGCGCAUAGAGUAACUGUUAUGCGUGUGACGGUAUCUAACCAGAAAGCCACGGCUAACUACGUGCCAGCAGCCGCGGUAAUACGUAGGUGGCAAGCGUUGUCCGGAUUUAUUGGGCGUAAAGCGAGCGCAGGCGGUCAAUUAAGUCUGAUGUGAAAGCCCCCGGCUCAACCGGGGAGGGUCAUUGGAAACUGGUUGACUUGAGUGCAGAAGAGGAGAGUGGAAUUCCAUGUGUAGCGGUGAAAUGCGUAGAUAUAUGGAGGAUCACCAGUGGCGAAGGCGACUCUCUGGUCUGUAACUGACGCUGAGGCUCGAAAGCGUGGGUAGCAAACAGG
rnacentral:rRNA from 1 species